GAUGAACGCUGGCGGCGUGCUUAACACAUGCAAGUCGAACGGGAAUUACUUUAUUGAAACUUCGGUCGAUUUGAUUUAAUUCUAGUGGCGGACGGGUGAGUAACGCGUGGGUAACCUGCCUUAUACAGGGGGAUAACAGUCAGAAAUGACUGCUAAUACCGCAUAAGCGCACAGAGCUGCAUGGCUCAGUGUGAAAAACUCCGGUGGUAUAAGAUGGACCCGCGUUGGAUUAGCUAGUUGGUGGGGUAACGGCCCACCAAGGCGACGAUCCAUAGCCGGCCUGAGAGGGUGAACGGCCACAUUGGGACUGAGACACGGCCCAGACUCCUACGGGAGGCAGCAGUGGGGAAUAUUGCACAAUGGGGGAAACCCUGAUGCAGCGACGCCGCGUGAAGCAAGAAGUAUCUCGGUAUGUAAACUUCUAUCAGCAGGGAAGAUAAUGACGGUACCUGACUAAGAAGCCCCGGCUAACUACGUGCCAGCCGCCGCCGUAA
rnacentral:rRNA from 1 species